rnacentral:misc_RNA from 1 species
AUAAAUUAAACAAUACUGAAUAGGGAAUAAGUAAACAGAAAAGAUCCCGAUAACUUUAAUUGUUCCAAAGUUUAAUAAAUAUGUAAACAAUUCAAAAUUUAUAAAAAUUACACAUAGAAUAGUUAUUUUAAUUAUUCUGCUAUUUUUAUUUGAAUUUAUGCACUCGCUUAGCGCGUUGAUUUUCCAUCGCGUAGGUACUGGAG